rnacentral:sRNA from 1 species
UUUUUUGUUUGUUUUUACAUUUCCU